CGCGCUCCUUCUGCGCAUGUGCAGCCCAAGCCCCGCCUCCUCCCUCGUCUUCUCCGGACUCCGCCGAAGCCGUUAGGUGCCCAGAGUCUCCUCAGAAAAUAGAGGGCGCGCCAGGGAGGCUGCGCUACUGUCAGACGUGUCCGUCACCAUAUGUGACAUUAAUGACAUCAUCCUGACCUCGCAGGAUCCCAGAAUAAUGAUGCUUGAAGGAUUUUCCAAAGUCGUCUACUUGCAACUCUCUUGAAAACUUUAAAGACAUUGGGCCUGAAAGUUUCAGUGACUUGUCCAGGGAAACCCGGUUUGUGACAGAGUCAGAAGGAAAACUGCAGUUCCCUCUCAGAUAAGUCACCAAAAGCAUCUUAUCAAAGGGGCCUUCUGAGAAAUACAUCCCAGCUGAAAUGAACAAUUAAAAAUUCCUGCCUUCAAGCAUCCCAUCUCUUUUCUGUGAAUUUUCUGUACCAAGAGCUGAACCACAGUUCUCUACACUCACCCAGGAGCCACAGAAAGUGAACGUCCCUCAGGUGUCAGUGUCAUUCAAGGACGUGCCUGUGGAGUUCCCCAGGAGGAGUGGCCGCAGGUGGAGUCUGCACAGAGGACCCUGUACAGAGACGUGGUGAUGCUGGAGAACUACAGUUGCCUUGUCUGGCGUUGCCAAAGUCAACAAUGACUUCCUUACAGCUAAACCUAAUAGACACCUUUCCAUCUUUGUCUCACUUGACCUCACAGCAGCUGUGGAUGAUGAUAACAUCCUCUUGGAGACACUCUCUCUACUAAACUUUGAGAACUCAGUAGUGUCCUGGUUUUUUUCCUGUGUAUGUUCAAUUGUAGUACAUUGUCUUGGAUUUUACAAAGGUACCCAAAACUCAGCACUCCUCGACUAAACUCGCAGUCUUUCUCUGCAGAUACUUUUUCUCCUAUGUCCUCCUUCAAAAUGAAUGCCUCCAAUUUGCAUGGAUGCUAAAGCUAAAGACUCAAGCAACAUCUUUGAAUCUUCCCUCUCCCUUAGUAUCCAAUGUCUCAUCCCACCACCAACCAGUCAGUCAGUGCUGAUUAUUGCAGUCUCUAAAUAGCUCUCAAAUAGUUUCACUUUUCUGCAUCCUUUCUGAAACCACUCUAGUCCUAGUAACCAGCCACAUAACUGAAUUAUCUUAAUGACCUCAUGCUUCUGAGCCUCGAUAUCCGGGUUCUUAAAAUGGGGCAGUUAGAAUGAACACCAAGUUUCUUCCUUCUGUAUAUUCUGUGAUUAUAAGAAUUUAAAGCUAAGGAGAGGCUCAGGGCAAAAUCAAUUCCAGUGCUUUGGGAGACGAUCUCACUUUCUCCAUUUAUUUAUUUAUUUAUUCAUUAAUUUAUGUAUCCUUUCUUCCUUGCUUCCUUAAUCCCUCCCUCUGUCUCAGAGCAUGCAAACUUAACUACUCAGCUGUGGGGCCAGCCCCACACUUUCUCCAUUUAAAUUAACUCUUGGGGUGACCGAGACUGUGCCUCAUAUCCUCCCAUAGCACUGCUUUAUAGGAGAGUCUCAGGGUCUUCAUGACAGCUUAUAUAAUGAGGCUCUUUUUCUUAAAUAGGAAUCUGCUUUAUGCCACGUUUUGAGCUCUAAAAAAUAUUUUAAAAUCAGAUUCUAAUGUUGGUAACAACUUUACCUUGCUUUGUUAAUUCAUCUGAAAGCUCCUGUUGAAAAUAAAUGUCGCAUGUGAAACAAAAAUGUCUGUAAAAAUUUAGUCCAUCUUUGUUCACUCCCUCUUGAGAGUAUAUUAAAAAACCUGGAUAACAGGAGAGUGUUGAUGGAGAUUAGGAUGAGGGGCAGUGAUGAUGGAGUUUGGUUGUUUUUCAGCAGUAGUAAGGUCAAAAUAAAGGCAUAAUAAAAGAAGAGUAAAGGAUUUACAUCAGGGCUUUCUAUGAAAAAAAUUAAAAACCAUAAGCAGAUGGAAAAAGUUGCAAUACAAUAUGGCAGAUUCCACUAAUCAGUUUAAUAGACGGCCAUUUUAAUGGCAGAGAGAGUAGAAUGCAAAGUGAGAAGUUGGAAAAUGUCAAGGAGGCAAGAGCCAGAAAAGUGAGGGGGUCCCUUCCUGCCCUGAGAAUUCUUUUGGUUCUGAAGUGUGUGAGCCCAGCUGAGUGAAGACCUGGGGAGGAUAUAAUAGAUGCUCUGAAAGGGGCAUCCAUCAGCUGCAGGAAGAUGUGCCAUCUGUCCCCAAAACUCAUUAGCAGAUGGGUCAUUACUCUCAUUAAGAAUUCAUUUUCUAAUUCCAGGGAUAGAAUUCUCCUCUACUUGAUUCGGCUUUCACACAAAAACACAGACUCACCUGGUGUGGAUAAAACACAAUCCUGCUUUUCCACAGGAACAGGAGUCUGGGAACAAGGAAAACAGUCCUGGAAGCAGAACAAGAGUAUGGGAUCACUCAUGGACAGUGCUAUUUGGACAGGUCACUUCCUAGAUGUGCUGAGUGUGCAAAUUCUGUCUCGUCUCAUCCAGUGUUUCUCUGAAUGGAAGCAAGUAUCUGGGCACCAGCCACCACUCCACUCAGCUCUUAAGCAGCUUUGACCUUGAAGACAUGGAUAUGGAUGAGAACAAGGAUCCACUUGGCACCUUUGGCCACUUUUGCUUCAGUGAACUGAGUGGGGUGUCUGAGAAGAAACCCUGGUGUUAGGAAGACGUCUGAGAAUGUUCCAAUGAUCCCCGCCUCCUGAUAUUCACACCUUUGGACUCUCUCCUGGCUUUGGUGAAGCAAGCUUCCGUGUUGGAGAGGCCCACAGGACAAGGAACUGAGGGUUGCCUCCAGCCAACUCCAGCCCACAGCCACCAGGAAUUGAGGAUCUCAGUCCAACAGGCCUUGAGGAGCUGCAUCCUGCCAACAGCUAUAUAAGCAAGCUCAGAACUAUGUCCUUCUCCAGUUGAGCCUUCAGAUGAGACCCCAGCCCCAGCUGAUACCUUAAUUGCAGCCUUGUGAGAGACCCUGGAGCAGGGAACCCAGGUAAGCCUUGCCUGGACUCCUGACCCA